CCUACGGGGCGCAGCAGUGAGGAAUAUUGGUCAAUGGGCGGGAGCCUGAACCAGCCAAGUCGCGUGAGGGAAGACGGUCCUAUGGAUUGUAAACCUCUUUUGUCGGGGAGCAAAGAGAUCACGUGUGGUCAAAAGCGAGAGUACCCGAAGAAAAAGCAUCGGCUAACUCCGUGCCAGCAGCCGCGGUAAUACGGAGGAUGCGAGCGUUAUCCGGAUUUAUUGGGUUUAAAGGGUGCGUAGGCGGGACGGUAAGUCAGCGGUAAAAUCGCGGGGCUCAACCUCGCUCCGCCGUUGAAACGGGCGUU
rnacentral:rRNA from 1 species